rnacentral:lncRNA from 1 species
UGAGCUUUAAAUAUCAUGGAUUACAUGGAUCAGAUAUUGUGUAUGAAUCAAAGAUUAAUACACAAUGAGUUGUAUUCUGAUUUGCAGUAGAAACAGCUGGAGAGAAUUGUGUGUAAACGCCUGUACAAAAAGUAGGAUUUUGUAGUGCUUGACAUGUGUAUGUAGAUAUGCAGCAGCUCUUUUUGCCCUAUACAUAUAAUGUUUUUAUCCUGGUCUUGGUAUUCAUUUUUGUGUAACUAAUUAGCAGAUUUGUUCUGCUAAUUUAGGAACAAU